rnacentral:rRNA from 1 species
GAUGAACGCUGGCGGCGUGCCUAAUACAUGCAAGUCGAGCGAACGGACGAGAAGCUUGCUUCUCUGAUGUUAGCGGCGGACGGGUGAGUAACACGUGGAUAACCUACCUAUAAGACUGGGAUAACUUCGGGAAACCGGAGCUAAUACCGGAUGAUAUUUUGAACCGCAUGGUUCAAAAGUGAAAGACGGUCUUGCUGUCACUUAUAGAUGGAUCCGCGCUGCAUUAGCUAGUUGGUAAGGUAACGGCUUACCAAGGCAACGAUGCAUAGCCGACCUGAGAGGGUGAUCGCACACCCUGGAACUGAGACACGGUCCAGACUCCGACGGGAGGCAGCAGUAGGGAAUCUUACGCAAUGGGCGAAAGCCUGACGGAGCAACGCCGCGUGAGUGAUGAAGGUCUUCGGAUCGUAAAACUCUGUUAUUAGGGAAGAACAUAUGUGUAAGUAACUGUGCACAUCUUGACGGUACCUAAUCAGAAAGCCACGGCUAACUACGUG